ensembl:lncRNA
UGGGCUGGCACUGCAGAGCUGGUGGAAAUUACACACGGGGUUCACCUUAUAUGAGCAAUGACCGCCUUUAGGACAUUUCUUAAAUACCCAUUCUUUUACAGAAGGGUGUAUUCUGUAUGAAUGCAGCAACUGAAGGAACUGCUCCGGUCCUUUUCAGUAAAUCUGUUCUUUCAGCCACAUGGCCACAAGUUGAAAUUUGACCAGAUUACCAAAUCUGUCUGCUUGUUUGCCAAGGAGCAACAGCGACAAGGGACCCUCUCUCACUCCCCAGUGUUGUUCUACAAAUGUCACUUAAUAAUUAAUUCCCUGCUAAUAUUGGAACUUGACUGUGAAAAUGCUGUUUUCUGCUGGGAGAAUUCAGAUGCAGUAAACACUGCUAUGGCAAAUGGAUUGUUUCUAUUGGGAUAUGCUAUAAAUGGGUUUUGUUCUGUUCCCACUGGAGCCAUAAGUUUAGGAUCAGAUCCUGCUUAAUAUCAUAUUUCUCCUUCUCAUGAUAUUUAUUGACUGUAGCAAAAAGCUCAGCUAUUCAAAAACUCCACCCCUUUUAAAAUAUAUGGACUUGCUUAUCUAGAAAAGCUAUCAGUGGAAUUUUACAUUUUCUCCCCUCAGCUGCAAAGCCCUUACAGCCUCCUUUACAAACUUACCCCCAGGUUUAGGCACUCUCUCCCUUUAAGUUCCAUUGUAUAUCGGAGAACAACACGUUGAAUUAAAAAAUCCUAACGGCACAAAAUUGUGCAGUGUUGUCAGAAGCCACAGAGGAAGGGCCAAAUUCUUCUUUCCUUUAUCUGGCACAAUUCCCACUGACAUCAACACUAUGUUCUUGACGGAGCUCGAGCACGUACUUUAAGGCCACACCAAUUACAGGGAAAUUAUCUUACUGUCAGUGCGGCGUUUGUGUGCAGGCUGACAGUUACAAGCAGAAAGCUGCCUGCCCGUAGUUUGUUCUGGUCAUAAAUCAGGAAAUAUUAAUAUGAAAUCCUAAACGUUUCAGAAAGUUGUAAACAACUCACUUCUGAUAUGAAAGCAAUGCAGGAACCGCCUGACUGUCCUCUUGCAAGAAAGACGCCGAGGUAAACUAUAAGCAAAGUUCUGCAGGCUUUUAACUUUUCACCAGCCAAAGUUGUUACUAGUUCAAAUAUUAUCAUUACCUGUAGAGGUAUGAUGAAAGGGUUUUAUGAUCCAGAUCUGUUUGUAUUCUGUAGGUCUAGUAAAGAAACAACAUUUCCCCUCUGUCAUGCCCAAAUAAACAAUGAGCCUAUUUCAAGUUCCGCUCAAUAAGUGUGCUAAAUGCAUAAAGUAUUUUGAGUAAAUGCCAUGCAGCUGUUUGGUAGCUUGCAAUUACUGCGGUAUUGUGUCUGCCUGCGUUGUGUGAACGGCCAUAAAUCCAGCUAUUUCUGACACAUCACGUUGGAUUUCAUAUAAGUCUAUAGGUUUCGUUCCAAGUAGAUGAAAAUAAUGAAACAUUGUAAAUAUUAGAUGGUCUUGCUCCAGUGUGUGGUGCUGUAAAUCUCUGGAGAUUUGCAAAGAGACAGUGACAACAUGAAUGCAAUUACACAUGAUACUAUUUUAUGGGCUAAUUCUAUAAAGCAGCAUCUCUGCACUGCACUGACAAUAAUUUUUCAUGGCGACUUUCUGGAUGUCCCAUGGACCCUUUUAAUGCAUUAAUUAUUUGCUCAUCCCAAAAUAAAAUCCGCACGUGUAUGGAAUUAAACAAUGGACCCAGCAUGCUUCAAGAGGAGUUUUGCUGGAGAGGAGACUCAGGGCAGAGCCAUUUAUUUUAAGGCUCUGAUUAAAAGGCUGAGUUGCAGCUCUAUCUGACAGGAGGCUCUGAUCUGGCCGUGCACUGUACACAUCCAUACCCUGCAAAGCCUCUCACUGCCCCCCAGCCUGCACAGAGCCUGGGCUGGGGAAGAAGGAAUAUUUCUUCUUUGGAUCUCGGCUCAACAGGUGGCUUUGAAAUCACCUAUGAGUUCUCCCACUUUUGUCGAGCAGAGAUAGCAGCCGGUUGGGUUCUAGGAAAAGACGUGCAGGUAUUUUGUCAUGACAUGCUAAUUUAAUAAAACGAAACCUGGAAAAACACUCAAAGUCUUAAAGGAUUCAAAGGCAUCUCAGAAAAAGAAAACCAGCUUUGGGAUUGUUAUAGCAGCUGUAAUAAUCUAUUAUGUAAAUCAUCUGGGAAUCGAAACAUAAUAUUUUGUAAGAUAGUUUUUGUCGAAUAAUAAAUAUUCUAUCCUUUAGGCUUAAUGUUUUUCCAGAAGUGUUAUUGUUAACUGAUGAAAGUGAAACCUUAGGGUACUCCUUAUUUUGACUGAAGAUGAUUUAAGAUUUAUUUAUAGCAGUGCCAACGAUAACACCCAUAUAUCUGUUGAGGAGAACAUAUGUUUCUCAAAAUUGGGUGUCGGAACUGGUGUUGAUCCACACUGCCUUAUAUUUACCCUCUGGGUGGCACAUAGAUAUUCUCACCAGAUUGAAUCAGAGAUUCCAGAAGAAAAAAUGUGUGCAAACAAAACAAACCGAAAUCAGAGGUCUUUGGUCAGACCGUUAUUGUUUACUUUGAUUUAUAUCCCUAUGCCAUACCAAAGGCCCUUCUGCAGCAGUGGUUACUCCUCACUGCCUGAGUGCUGUAAACUGACUUCUAUAGGAACCCCUCUCCAUUUGUUUCUUCUCUCAUAGAAGAGGCACUGGUGCAACAUGUCAGUUUGUCAGCCUGUUGACUAAAGUACAGAAUGAUGUCAGUAAUGACUAGGAUGCAUAUUGCACAUUACCACAUUUUGCAAAUUAGUGCCUAAUCAAAAAGCACCAUAAAAAAAAAAAAACAAGGGUACUGCGUAAUGAAAUGUACUUUAUUCAUUUAUUUUUACAACCGCGUAUUAGUUGUAAUUAUUCCUGUUAAUAAUUCAUUGGCCGUUAGCACGCGGAGCUACAGAUUUAUUUAUUUAUUUUUAAUAAGUUUCAGUAAGUGAAGCUCCUGUUGUCGCACUGGGAGGUGCGAGCCUUCGUGAGGAGAUGAGAGAGUGCUCCUUCUUUGAGUGGUUGACCUGAUUUCGGAGAUAAUCCCUGCGAAUGUCCUGGAGCCCUUGGGGCCAGUCGUGGGCUGGUGGGGGCCGGGAGGGGUUCCAUCUCCUUGGGAAGGUCACAGCAGCCGGGUGGCUGCUGACCUCUGUCGGUUCUUUCCUCAGCUCCUCAGACAGUGACGGGAAAACCUUGUUUGAGUUAGGCCGGAGAUGGGCUCUGCUUGGCUGCUCUCAGCUGCUCACUGAAGAAAACUUUUCCCCCCUCUUCCUUCUUCCCCAGUCCAUGGAGAAAGCCCAGUAAGAGCAGAGCACUAAUGGUGGGGGAGCAUUUUGUUCCUGAUGAAAUGUCUAGUGACAAAUCAAGGAGUGAGAGCAUCCUACCUGGGAGUGCUCCCUCAGCCGUCCUCCAUUCCACCUGUCUGUCCUGAGCUCAGCUUGGACUCCUGGCUUGGCAGAGAGCAUCCCUCAGGAUCUCCACCUCUUACAAUAAAAUCACAGAAUGGCUUGGCUUGGAAGGGGCCUUAAAGCCCAUCCAGUUUGAACCCCUGCCAUGGGCAGGUUUGCCAGUCACUCAAUCAGGCUGCCCAUGGUCCCAUCUGAUGUGGCCUUAUGGAAGUGCCCAGGUAAUUAUUGUGUGUAUAUAUUAAAUCUAUGUGCAAUACGCACGUUUUUGUUCAUCCCACUGUACGUUUGCUUUUCUUUUCCAUGCAUCCAUUUGCUACUGGGAGUUCCAUAAGCUUCCAGGCAUUAAAACCAUUUCUCUUUUUCCCUCGUAUUUUAAGUUUGAUCCAUGAAUGGCCUGUCAAGAGUUUUAUAUUAUUCCGAGCUGGAUUUUGGAUGGUAGCAGCAGCAGGCCACUAACCAUAAUUGUGUUGCUGUUGCCACUGUAACAAAUUUGUGUUAUUUAGCUAUUUUGCAUCUUGGGAAGUGAAUAAAGAAAAACGUAGUACUGAUGAAUAUUUAUUAUACUGCUGUGGGAUCUUAAGUUGAGGCAUGUUUGCAUCAAUUCUGUAAAACUGCUCUUAAAAUUUAGCAGAGUGGAUUAUAUCUGAAAAUGGGGGAAAGCAGUUACAAAGACUUCUGGAAAUAAUAUUUAUGACUGAGGAAGAUAUUAAUUUGUAGUACUAUGCUAGUAAUGUUAUUAGUGAUAGUCUCCUUGUAAAGAUCAGGAGGCAGAUGCUUGGUCAGAGCCUAUCUGAGGGCACUACUGUUUUACAGGAUGCUAAGCACUGUGUGAGGUGCUCAGAUUUCCCAUAUUUGACGUUAUUCAACCAACUGCAGGUCUAUAUCCUGAGAUCCUGAGUAUCUGUAUUUCUUGGUGACCUUAUUUUCAGAGAAAGGAAAGUUUUAGCCUCUUUAUACUCUCAGUGGCCUGUGCCUAUGUCAUGCAGGGAGCAAGUGAAGGCUACAUCCCUUCCUGCUUAAGAGGUUGGUGGGAUAUCAUUAAUUUGCUUGAAACACGAUGUUAGUGGGUAUAAAAUAUGUUAACGUUUUUAAUUGCUGGCAGGUUAUUGAUUUUUAUUUCAUAUUUUCUUUCCCAGAUAGAAUUGAAUACAGGUAAUAGGAAACCAAUAGAGUCACAUCAUGAUUGUCUUUUUGAAACAGUAGUAACUUAGGAAGCAGAUCUUUUUUCUUUGUUUGUUUGAAUCACUUUGGUGACACAGUGCGCAUUGGAAACUUGAGGUAAUGCAUAAUAUUUAAAAGAUUUUAACUUUUCUUAGAGGUAUAGUAGACAGAGUUAUCACAUAUAUUUAAAAGGACCUUGAUUUUUUAUUUUCAGCUUAGUGAGAAGGGAAGCUAUCUAACAUCCAGCCACUAGCUGCUGAUGGCUGAGUAGACAACAGAAAGGGAACUCUCAUCACCUGCUAAGUCCCACCGUCUGUCAGUGCAGUUGGGAACAAACUGGCUUAGCUGGUGGGGCUUAACCCUUUGUCAUCAGCACACCUCUGUUAUUUUGAGAUUCUCUAAAGAUGAAUCAUUUUGGGGGUUUAAAUGGGGACAUUUAAAUAGAGAUCAUCUCAUGACUCCUGCAAACAAACUGACUUUCACCCAUUCAAACCUAGCUAUUUGUUGCACUUUUCUCCUUGGCCACUGAGUACAUGUGAAAUACAACUCUUUCUAAAGAAGAAAACCUCAGACGUUCAUAUGGGAACAUCCCUCAAGGUCAUAAAGUGAGUGUGCCGAAGACAAAAGGACUUUAAUUUGACCAUAAUUUAUGUGAGGGCUUUCAACAAGGCAGUGGAAUUGCAUAUUUUUUAGAUUUUUUUCCUAGUAAUUCAAUUUCUCAGGGAAUGCUGCCAUCAAUAUUUUAUUUUGAGCACUGGGGUGCAAAUGGCAUUACCAAUGUUCCUCUUUACUCCUGACAGUGUACUUGACACCAAACACUUGUUCCAGUGGCAUAUUUGACCCCUGGCAGACACAGACACAGUUUUUCUCCCUUCCUCCCUUUCUUUUUUAUUUUUUAAAUAUAUAUUUUUACUUUUUUUUACAGUAUCCCUCCCUUGUGAGAAGCCCCAGUGUUUAGAAAGGCUGGAAAAAUAACAAGAAGGGGGGCAUAUGAAAAACAGCGAUUUUUCCAAGUGAAAUUAGAAACAGGGUCUCUUUAACAUGGAAAUUUGAUUUCUCUACAAUUUGAGGAUUCAUUUCUGCAACUGUCACAUAUGUAAAAUUUCCAGUGAAGUCACAGAGGCUUUUGAAUACAAAGAAACAGCACAAUCAAGCUCUGAAUAUAUAUAUAUAUAUAUUCCAUAUGCUUUUCUCUCUCUCUCCGAGUGAUGUACAUGUUUUAGUAAUUUUAUCCAGAUAAAACUGCCAUCACUUUAAUUUUUACAGUCCGUAAGCCAUUUAAAAAGAUACAAUUAAUACUAUCCAUUUCUGAGAAGAGAACUCAUCUUUGCAAAAGCAUUUAAUUAGCAUCUCCAUCUUUUAUUUCAAACAGAAAUGUGAAGUAUCGCAUUGUCAGGACAUCCUUGACUGAUACCCUGGGUGCAUUAUUUGUUUGGAAUGGCCCAAAAUCACACGACUUUACUGAAUUAUAACCAGAUAAAUAUAUCUAAGCCUGAGGGCAGGAAGUCCUGGCAGCCAAGACGUGGGGAACAUGCGGUUUGUCCAUGCUAGAUUCUUCUUUUCCUUUCUACUAAUAAAUCUAUUAGAAAGCUUUGUUUGUACUCUUCGCAUGACAAAUAAAGUCUCUGUCUGUGGUGCCAUAUUAGUGCACAGUACUGAUGCCUGCAACCCCUCCUAUUCUCGUGGAGAGAGGAGACCUCUGUGAACCAAACCUCGUCAGGUCAGGUUUUGUUUGGGUUUGCGCCUGUUCCAAAGCAGGGAACAUAUCUCAUAUCAGAAGUAUUAUGCGACUGAUGAAUCACACCUCUGCUUCAUUAAGGUCAUCUGCAACAGUUAUUGGAGCUGUCAGACCACCCACCACAAUUUGGAUUUUCUACAGAGCCUACUUUUAUCUUCUAUUUAAGCAUUUUAAAAUCUCCCUUCUACAAAUCAUUUGAGAGGAGGCUGUAAAAGGUGACGGUGGCACUUUCUGCAUCUUCAUAUAACUCUCUGUUCUGUUGAGCCUUUUGGUAACCAAUUUUUCUUGCAUGACAGAGCAUGUGCUGUGGCAGACAUUUUUAUGAGGUAGCCUAGGACAGGGCUAAUCACAUCACCCUGUCUCAGGUUUUGACCUUAUCACUGUUGUGCACUGAGCCUAAAAAUUGGGCACUGGCAACCAGAUCGCAGGAAAAUAAAUGGGAAAUGACAAUUUAGUUAAAAAGAACAGUGGAUUUUAUUUUAUUGAAACAUAAGUCAUGUGACUUUUAUUUAUUGUUCUUGUAUGACUGUAAUUAAAUAGCUGCCAUGUCAAGAGAUUAAAAAAAAAGGAGCAAUUUCACUAGCCAGGACCCAAUUCAUUGUUCUGCAGCUGUUUUACAUUCAGGCCUUUUAAUGAAGCCAGCAGAAACUCUACCUGGAACGCCAUGAGAAAAUUAUAUUCUUAUAUGAAACAUCAUUUAUAACAUCUGUAAUAAAGUGGGCUAAAUCACAACUCUGCCAUUUAAAAUCAUAAAUAGUAUGUUAUCUUUUAAUGGCGACAUUUGUCCUUUUGAAAUCCCUUGCUGAUAGGCUGCUCUAAGAAAAGCCUAAGUAGACUUCUUCUGUAUAGUGGUUGAUUAAGAAAAAAUCAUUAUAAAAUAUUCAAUACGUAUAUAAUUACAUGUAGUAUAUAGGUGUGAGCCUGGUCAUUGGUCGCCUGUAUCAGAAACUGAAGAAUUUGUUGAUACAACCAUUACUGUUUUCCAAAGGAUGUAAUAUAAGCUAUUCUUGUUCGAUUACCUGCACACAUAUAUAUGUAUAUGUGUAUAGAAUCAUAGAACCAUAGAAUCAUUUGAAUUGGAAGGAACCUUUAAGUGUCAACUACUCCAGCUCCCUGGCAAUGAACAGGGACUUCUGCAUACAUGUUGUCUGUUAUUUGUUAGGUGUUUUAUGUGUCAUGUAUAUGUACAUAUGUGUUCAUGUGAGCAGUUUGGCGACAUAAUCUUUAAUAACCUGUUUUAAAGAAUAUCACUCUUCACUGCUUUCCUAAAGCUGUGAUUUACAGAGGUAGCCAGUGUUCAAAGUAAGAGACAAACCCUGAUAGUACUAAUAAAGAUUUUAGCACAGUGUAGAAAUAACUCCUGAAAAUUCAGGCACAACACCAUGCAUCCUUGCAAAAAGGAAAAUAAUAGUGACUUGCAAAACGCCAGCCUGCAGAGAGGGAUGUAGUUUGGAGGGCAAAUUGGCCACAGCUUCCACCGUAAAACCAUUUAAACCAAACCUAACACCAGGCAGCCAAAUCUGAUCCAUAUGUGUGCAACCUGCAGUGCUCUGGGAACCCUGCGCGCUGCGGCUGGUGCUCGGGCAGCUGUUCCCAGAGCACUAUGGCAAGAUGGUGAGGGCUGCAGGAAGAAACCCGCCUUCAGGAGAAGUGUUGUGCUGUAGUGUGUUUCCUGGUUCAGCUCUUACACUGCUGAAGCGCUCACAGCCCUUCCAUCUAUUGCAUCUUGCUACGCCUCCGGCAGGGCCCCCUCCAGCCCAGGCAACUCUUGGGUAGGUUGCUCCCAGCGUUCCCCAUGUCUUCUGCCAGCCCUGGUACACCGUGCAGCUGGGGAUCAUGAAGGCAUCUCUGGGUAAAAGCUGAGGCAGCUUCUGGUCAAGAGAAAUGAGCAGACAGGCUUCUCCCAGCACCUGCCAAUCAAUCACAUCGAGCACACGGACCAGCGGCCAGCCCUGCAAACACUCAGCCGUCAUUUACACUAACACAGUUAUGUUUCCCUGAUGUUCUUGGAGAGAAGCAGGUCCCAGAUGUUACCUGCUUAAUAAUUAUCCUGUUUCCCAAGGACAAAGCUCCCUGCAGCUCUGCACCAAGGGCUGCUGAGUGCUCCUCAGAGCUCUGCUUCACCAUGGGCAGCUGACGGGGCUCAUUGAAAUGGUUGCACUUCAGGUCCCCACCUCCAGGAAGGACAAUUGUAUUAAGGGAUGAUUUUUUUUUUUUUUCUGUGCCAGGGUUUUUUUAUUAGGUAAAAUAAAAUGGGUAUUAACGUCGUUUUGCUGCCCUUCCUUUCUGUUUUGUUGAUGUCGCAACGAUUUUGUCUGAGUUUGUAGCCCACGAUACGUGAAGAUUUCAGAUGUUCAGGACAGUCUGUCUGUUCCAGGCAUGGGGCAGGGGAUCACUCAUCGGGGUGAUUUGUUGCACUGAUAACAGGGUGCAAAUAACAACAUGGGGGCAAUGCUAGCGUUUCCUCUUAGCUUCCACUUCAUUGUGGCCAAUGUAACGAAAUGUUAUGACCUCUAGAGCCUAAUUCUCAUCUCACACUGUUGAUCUGGAUAUUAAACACACUGUGAUUGACCUCUCUUGAUUUAUAACACAGUAAGUGGACUCAGAUUCAUUCUCAAUUGGACAAGCUUAUCCACAACUUCCAGAUGUUGGCUAUGCAAUGGGUCCCUAUGUGUAAAGAAGGAGAGGUGUUUCUUGGAGCCCAUAUUCAAUUUCCAGGCUUCAAUCUCCCUUUGUUUUAACUUUGCCCACAUGCUGGUAUGUUGUGGUGAUAAUUGGGCAUUUUGUUUUUUGAAUCCUUUGUAGAAUCUGCGCCCAACUCAUUGACAUAUGGAUGACGAAGGUGCUGGAAAAAGAGGGUGAAUACAUUCAAGUGUUGUAAAUAAUUGGUCUCAAAUAAAAAUAUAUGGAGAAAACAAGAAAACUGCUAUUAAGUAUACCUUUGCUUUCUGCAGUAGAACACAAGACAGAUUUACAGUGUUAAUUAUUUCCACCAGCUUUGAGCCUGAAAUAUGAAUAUGUCAG